rnacentral:rRNA from 1 species
UUCAACGUGAGAGUUUGAUCCUGGCUCAGAGCGAACGCUGGCGGCAGGCUUAACACAUGCAAGUCGAGCGGGCCCUUCGGGGUCAGCGGCGGACGGGUGAGUAACGCGUGGGA